UUUCCGUAGGUGAACCUGCGGAAGGAUCAUUAUUGUAUAACCGAGGUGCGAGGGCUGUCGCUGACCCGAAAGGUCGUGCACGCCCGAGUGCCCUCACACACAUCCAUCUCACCCCUAUGUGCACCACCGCGUGGGUCCCCCUUUGGCUUGUUCGGAGGGGGGCUUACGUUUUCACACAAACCUAGUAUGCAGUGUAGAAUGUAUUUUUUGUUUUUGCGAUCACGCAAUCAAUACAACUUUCAACAACGGAUCUCUUGGCUCUC
rnacentral:misc_RNA from 1 species